UGUGUGUGAAGCUCUCUCUCCUUGGAAACCCUCUUAUAUGUAUGACUUACUACUACUCUUGUAUGUGUGUAUGACUUACUAUUAUGCUACUAGGGUAUGCUACUACUCUUCAAACUUGUUGCUACUGUUGAGAUCUUGUUGUUCUUCUUGGCCCCUCACACAUAAGCUGCUUGUUUAGAGCACUUGUUCCACUCUCUGCCCUACUUGCUUAGAAUACUUGAUCCAACCCAACUCCAUCCAAGCUUCCUCCCUGCUUUCAGUGCGCUUGUCGCCAAACUCUCGCCGAACAGCCACCGAGCAGCCGCCAAACCCGCCACUGCCACCGCUGUUGUAUUACGUGAAGUCUUGCUUGAGAAUGCACUGAGCACCUGGCUAUGGAAGUUAAAAGAAAAUUGCAACAAAAGAUCCUAACAAUCCAAUAGGAUUAUAGAGAAUUUAUAAUUAAACGUUAAAAAUCAUAAUCAAACAUUAAACAAGCUCAAUUAAAUUUUAUUAAAGUUAUAAAAGAAACACAAGGAAAUCUUAAAGAAAUAUAAAAGAAUAUUAAAGAAAACUUAGUCAAAUCCUAACAAAAAUCUAAUAAAACCUUGAAUUCUAACCAAAUUCUAAUUCUAAUCCAACCUUAAUCAAACCCUACAAACCCUAAACCAAACCCUAAUCAAAUCUUAAUCCCAAACAAAAUCCUAAUCCAAACCCUAAAUCCUAAACCAAAU
rnacentral:lncRNA from 1 species